rnacentral:rRNA from 1 species
GAUCCUGGCUCUGAUUGAACGCUGGCGGCAGGCUUAACACAUGCAAGUCGAACGGUAACAUGAAGAAGCUUGCUUCUUUGAUGACGAGUGGCGGACGGGUGAGUAAUGCUUGGGAAUCUAGCUUAUGGAGGGGGAUAACUACGGGAAACUGUAGCUAAUACCGCGUAGAAUCGAGAGAUGAAAGUGUGGGACCUUCGGGCCACAUGCCAUAGGAUGAGCCCAAGUGGGAUUAGGUAGUUGG